rnacentral:lncRNA from 1 species
AUUGGAACACAAUUGGACCCUCAUCCAUCCCAGCUAAUGAGUCUACAACAGUAGCACACAAUUCCACAAUUGGACCAUCACCCACCUCAGCUAAUGCCUCUAAACUAACAGAGAAUUCCACAGUUAGACCAUCAACCACUCCAGCUAAUGAAUCUAAACCAGCAGGUACCAUUUUUUUUUCAAUUGUAGAUUCAGAUAUACAGCUCUGGAGAAAGAUAAGAGACCACU